rnacentral:rRNA from 1 species
AGUGAACGCUGGCGGUAGGCCUAACACAUGCAAGUCGAACGACAGCACAGUAAGAGCUUGCUCUUACGGGUGGCGAGUGGCGGACGGGUGACGAAUGCAUCGGAAUCUACUUUUUCGUGGGGGAUAACGUAGGCAAACUUACGCUAAUACCGCAUACGACCUACCGGUGACAGCAGGGGAUCUUCGGACCUUGCGCGACUGAUACAGCCGAUGUCGGAUUAGCUAGUUGGCGGGGUAAAGGCCCACCACGGCAACGAUCCGUAGCUGGUCUGAGAGGAUGAUCAGCCACACUGGAACGGAGACACGGUCCAGCCUCCUACGGGAGGCAGCAGUGGGGAAUAUUGGACAAUGGGCGAAAGCCUGAUCCAGCCAUACCGGGGGGGUGAAGAAGGCCUUCGGGUUGUAAAGCCCUUUUGUUGGGAAAGAAAAGCAGCAGGUUAAUACCCCGCUGUUCUGACGGUACCCAAAGAAUAAGCCACGGCUAACUUCGUG